UACGUAGGGUGCAAGCGUUGUCCGGAAUUAUUGGGCGUAAAGAGCUCGUAGGCGGUUUGUCGCGUCUGCUGUGAAAACUCGGGGCUCAACUCCGAGCUUGCAGUGGGUACGGGCAGGCUGGAGUUCGGUAGGGGAGACUGGAAUUCCUGGUGUAGCGGUGAAAUGCGCAGAUAUCAGGAGGAACACCGGUGGCGAAGGCGGGUCUCUGGGCCGAUACUGACGCUGAGGAGCGAAAGCGUGGGGAGCGAACAGG
rnacentral:rRNA from 1 species